UGGGGAAUUUUGGACAAUGGGCGAAAGCCUGAUCCAGCAAUGCCGCGUGUGUGAAGAAGGCCUUCGGGUUGUAAAGCACUUUUGUCCGGAAAGAAAUCCUUGGCUCUAAUACAGUCGGGGGAUGACGGUACCGGAAGAAUAAGCACCGGCUAACUACGUGCCAGCAGCCGCGGUAAUACGUAGGGUGCAAGCGUUAAUCGGAAUUACUGGGCGUAAAGCGUGCGCAGGCGGUUUGCUAAGACCGAUGUGAAAUCCCCGGGCUCAACCUGGGAACUGCAUUGGUGACUGGCAGGCUAGAGUAUGGCAGAGGGGGGUAGAAUUCCACAUGUAGCAGUGAAAUGCGUAGAGAUGUGGAGGAAUACCGAUGGCGAAGGCAGCCCCCUGGGCCAAUACUGACGCUCAUGCACGAAAGCGUGGGGAGCAAACAGGAUUAGAUACCCUGGUAGUCCACGCCCUAAAACGAUGUCAACUAGUUGUUGGGGAUUCAUUUCCUUAGUAACGUAGCUAACGCGUGAAGUUGACCGCCUGGGGAGUACGGUCGCAAAUGAAUCAACUUAAAUGAAUUGACGGGGUCAUAGCUGUUUCCU
rnacentral:rRNA from 1 species